rnacentral:rRNA from 1 species
UGGGGAAUAUUGCACAAUGGGCGCAAGCCUGAUGCAGCGACGCCGCGUGGGGGAUGACGGCCUUCGGGUUGUAAACUCCUUUCGCUAGGGACGAAGCUUUUUGUGACGGUACCUAGAUAAGAAGCACCGGCUAACUACGUGCCAGCAGCCGCGGUAAUACGUAGGGUGCGAGCGUUGUCCGGAAUUACUGGGCGUAAAGGGCUCGUAGGUGGUUUGUCGCGUCGUCUGUGAAAUUCCGGGGCUUAACUCCGGGCGUGCAGGCGAUACGGGCAUAACUUGAGUACUGUAGGGGUAACUGGAAUUCCUGGUGUAGCGGUGAAAUGCGCAGAUAUCAGGAGGAACACCGAUGGCGAAGGCAGGUUACUGGGCAGUUACUGACGCUGAGGAGCGAGAGCAUGGGUAGCGAACAGG